CCCUCCGAAGUUUCCCUCAGGAUAGCUGGUGCAUUUUAAAAUUAUGCAAAAUAAUCUUAUCUGGUAAAGCGAAUGAUUAGAGGCCUUAGGGUCGAAACGACCUUAACCUAUUCUCAAACUUUAAAUGGGUAAGAACCUAACCUUUCUUGAUAUGAAGGUUCAGGUUAUGAUAUAAUGUGCCCAGUGGGCCACUUUUGGUAAGCAGAACUGGCGCUGUGGGAUGAACCAAACGUAAUGUUACGGUGCCUAAAUUUACAACUCAUGCAGAUACCAUGAAAGGCGUUGGUUGCUUAAAACAGCAGGACGGUGGACAUGGAAGUCGUAAUCCGCUAAGGAGUGUGUAACAACUCACCUGCCGAAGCAACUAGCCCUUAAAAUGGAUGGCGCUUAAGUUGUAUACCUAUACAUUACCGCUAAAGUACAUGAUUUAUAAUACAAUUUCGGUUGUUUUUAUAAAUUUUGAAACUUUAGUGAGUAGGAGGGUACAAUGGUGUGCUUAGAAGUGUUUGGCGUAAGCCUGCAUGGAGCCGCCAUUGGUACAGAUCUUGGUGGUAGUAGCAAAUAAUCGAAUGAGACCUUGGAGGACUGAAGUGGAGAAGGGUUUCGUGUGAACAGUGGUUGAUCACGAGUUAGUCGGUCCUAAGUUCAAGGCGAAAGCCGAAAAUUUUCAAGUUUUAAUAAA
rnacentral:rRNA from 1 species